GGAGGUGGAGGAGCAGCGAGGGAGUUUCGGCAGCAGGAUCGAUGGACCACAGUACAUCUGUGCCUGGUUUCAGACUCUACGGGCGGAAAUACAUACCUCCCUCAGCGAGAAGGACAAAAAACAUCAUGCAACCUGCAUGCAACAUGAUCCAUGACACUGUUGCAAAUUUGGAAGCUUUUAAAGGACAUUUUUCUGCUGUAAAGAGGAUAUCAUUUCUGUCUGAGGAUCUUAAUGAGGGGGACACUCCCGUGGGAAUCCUCUGCUAUGAGGACUCCAGUGCUGCAAACACAGCAUCGCCACAACUAAACCCCUCAAGAGAGGGGAUCAUCCUAGAGGGAAGCCUUGUAAUGGACGUACUCAACAACCUACCUCAGGGAAUGUGCCUCUUGUUUGGCUUUACCUACACACUCCACCUGCAGUACCCGAAGUGCUUAAAAAAUACAUUUGCCUUCAUUCAGCAGGUAAUGCUAAACUUGGGUCAAAGUGAGCGACCUCCCAAGGUUCAAAAGCUGAAGAAUGAUCUUGCAGUUUAAGACACAUUUAUGCUCAUGACACAAUUAUUCAUGUCCAUGUCUUGCUGAAAUAAUUCUACAGAGGACACAUUUUAGAAAGUUGCAGGGUUUACAAAAAUUUAAAAAAAAAACUCUGUUCCUCACUGCAUAGUUGUUCUUAAUGCCUGCUACUGUGUGUGGCACACAUGACAUACAGUUUUUACUUCUGCACUCGCAGUAUGCUGCUACAUGGUUAGUGUUGUUGUUCUUUGUUCAUACUUGAAAAUCGUUCACAGAGCAAAAAAUUUAAAAACUAUGUUGUGGUUGUAUUUGGAAGUAAAUCGUGGCUUUUAAGCUUCCCCACCUUUUAUAGAGAGCAAGACAACACAUGAACAAACUUGUACUUUUUUAUACAUUUUACUAAACAAUAAAAGACAUAAAAAACAAACACACAAAAAUGUAAUUCCCAAAUGUAUCUAAACUUGGCAAACUCCAUUUGUAGUUACAUAACAAGAUAACUACUUUGAGGCCCUUGAAACAUGGACAUGAUUUUGUGUGAGUGGCAGCCUUGUGGUAGAAGACUGUCUCUUCCAAACUCGACAAAGCAGUGAGUGCCAUUGGUAUUAUUUAUUGACUAAGCGCUGAUGAAAGGUUACCCAAAGUUAUACAACGGUGGCCGAAUUGACAAAACACAAGCAAAUCUAGAGAACGCAACAAAUACAACACAACCAAAACCAGAAACAUGCCACAAAAAGUCCCAAUAUCAGCAAACAGAAACACACAAACGACAACGGAAUUGUUUCCAGGACCCUAUGAAGUGAUGAACUCCCUGGGACAAGAUGAACUUGUUGUUCAAACCUUUAUGGCUUUUGGAGUUGUUGAUUGUUAUCAUUAUUAUUAUAACUACUCAAUUCUUAAGAAGCAUUUUGCUUUAUGACUACCAAUUCAAUUAAUCUGAUAAAAUACACAACUCAUUUUGCAAAGUUAUGCUAACGGCAUGUUAACUGUCUAUUACAUUAAUAGCAACUUUCAGACUCAGACAUUCACAAGAGAUAAGUUAAACUACAAGAAUAUUUUGCUGACAUGACUCACUUUGAAUCACUUUGGUUCAUUUUUAGUGGUUAUCAGUUAAAAUAUCUUCCCAUUCUUACAUUCACUCAUUUCCAGGUAGAGGAUGGUUUUGUUUGUGUUGUAUUUGCAGUGCACCUCUUGUCAAAUGGAUGAAAAUGUCUUCUUAAUUUGCAUGAUGUGCUUUCUCAGGUUACAGCGAUAAUGAUACUUCAAUGAUACUUUGAAAACGCCCAGUAACAACAUGUUAGGACGGUUCAAAAUAAAAUGUCAUGUAUUAUUUACCAUAGAAACACUAUGAUCUUGUAAAAAUGUGUGGAUUUUGUGCAAAAGCAAACAAAGAAUACAAUAAUAACUUUAACCAACUAAACUCUGUACAACGAUGUGCUGAGAACAGCCUCAAAGUUGAUUUAGAAAACCAGCUUCAUUUUGAUAAUAUGUCUGCAUUUUUACUCAUCCCCGUGUACACACAAAAAGUAGUGAGCACACUCAGACAGCCACGCACGACUCUUCAGCGAUGCAUGUAGAGUGAACCAGUCAUGUACAGUCCUAAAUCCAACUCUGUAAUCUGUCUGUGAACCACUGUCAGUGAGAGGCUCCAGUCUCAAGAUGGGAAUUUUGGGGACAGAAGUUAAAACUGUAUUGUAAAUUGAUGGUACAUUAUAUCUCAGUCCACCUCCUCUGUUAUAAGAGAAGCUUUUUCCAAUCUGACACGGAUGGUUUGACUGCUCUCUAAAACCUUGAAAAUGUUGCUCCAAUACCAGUUAGGUACCAACAAAGUGUGGCUCAUCUCUGUAUUAAAAGAAAAGCAAUAUUAGCAAUGGCUAAUGGGACUAAACUUUGAUCAAAAAAUCAGAGUAAAUAACUUUUGAAUGUUGAAUCUCUAACAAAUCUCACCACAAUAAUAAACCAUAACAUAAUCCCCAAACACCCCCAUGAAUGGUUGAGUCUGGCAACCUCUUUGAUGAUGUCACCAAGACUUUAAAAGCAGGAAGUGAGCUUUUCCUCCUUUUGUUCCUGGAACACAUAAGUAACUCAGUGCAAAAUAAAAACUGAAAUAAACUAACUUAAAACUUAAAGAUGCUUGUCCGAUACCUGUCUGAUUUUAACUGAAAAUGUUGAUGUAUGAAUUGUAAACCAAUUUAAUACAAGCACAGACAGACCUGGGAUAGUCAAUGUCUGCAUCUUAUGGAAUAAAGGUAGAAGUGAUGAAUAAAUAUUAAAGCAGCAUGAUCAAGUGGAAUGGUCAAUAGGACAAAUGGCAUGUUCUCACUCACUUUGUCACAUGCAUUUACACAAAUACUCCACAAACAAAUACAGCUUCUUCUGAUAAUUAUUGUAAUCAAAGUAAAACAUUCACCAAGUUGCAAUAACUUAAGAAACAAAAACAUAAAAACUGUAUGUUUUUAUCACUGACCUAUUUGUUUAUUUUUGUAAAAUGUGAAUCCUACUUCUGGCAGAAUCACUUCUUCAUGGUAUAUUUGCUGCUCAGUCUGUGUUCCUGCCACAGGCAAGAUUCACAUUACAGUUGUUUGUACAAGGUGCAUAUAAAUGGUCCUUAUGUAAAAGUUAAAUAAAAAUGUUAUUUUGUGGUUGGUGGGAGGAAACAUGGUAAUGUUUCAGCAUAUCAUUGUUUUAAUGUGUUUCUGUUGCAUACAGCUUUGGGAGCCCAGGAUUAAAAUCCUUGUUUUGAUGCAGAUAAAAUCUGUUUGAAUCUUUCCAUCUCUCAGAUUUUCUUCCAGAUCUUGUGAAUAGCAUAAUAAUGAUGAUUCUAAAGAUUAUUUUUGCAAUAUAUUGUGACUCGUCUUAAUAUGUCCAACUGAAUGUAAACAAUGCAGAUAUUUGCUAUUUAAUGUACAGUACAGUUCUAUAUAAUCCCCAUUUUCCUUAACUUGACCUGCAAUGGUAGAUCUAAAAGCUAUGUCAACAUAUGGGUCAAAUUUGUACAGUGUUCAGGGUACCAACAUUUUAACAACCUCUUCAAAAGUAUAACAUGAACAACAAUAAUAAUUAAUAAUAAUUAUAAUAAUAAUGACACUAUUUACUAUUUAGACACUCUAAAUAGAUCUGUUGUUUAAAAUUUGGUGUAGACACUGUCAAAAUUGAUCCAGAACAACAAUUCCACAGCAUUAAAUAAGUUAAUAACAAUAUGUAUGGAAGCAACAUCUUUCCCAUUCAAACAAGUCUUAAAAAUGCUUUGCUUAAAGUUAACAGUGAGGCUGCUAUACAUCACUACGACACAUCCAAGUCAUUUAGCAUAUAAGGACAAUUAAAUGCAAAAGUAGGUAAAUUUUAUUACGUUUAGUGCAUAGAGAAGCACACCACCUAUUCACCUAUUGUGCUACAUACUAACAAGUACAACAAACAAAUAAGCACUUAAAGGUGUGUGAUAAAAUGUGAUCAUAUGUAGUCACUUUAGUGUAUAUUAAGAGAAAUUGUGUUUUAUGACUGAAAUAAUGAAAACUGAAUCAAAUCCAAAGUUUUAAUUUGAAAAAAAAAAAUGUUUUUGUGGUUGUCUGCAAUAACAGUCAAUCACAUAUCAAUAUAGCUUUGAAUAUAGCUUUUUCUUCUGUGCAAUAUUCUCAGAAUAGUAUAUUGUUUAAAUAUUUGUCAAUGCAUUUAUAUAAUCAUAAGGACAGUUCAAUAUGACAUACACAGUCUCUGCCUAAAGAGCGACAGUCAAGACCAAGCCAGGGCGCCAUUCUGGUGUCAGUGUGCGUCAAAACCAGAAGUGACAGAGGAGUCCCAGGACGUCAGCGCCACUGGGAGGAUCCAGGCCUUAUUGGAAAAUGAUCACGACUCAGUUGCAUUUCAUAUGAUAAACAUUUAUUUUACACAGGAUUCAGCAUCAAGAAUCUGGAACAGUGGAAACACAAAUAAACAGAUGAACAGGUGCAUCUUAAAGACAGGAUCUGAUGACCU